GUUUUAUUUCCACUUGAAUCAGAAUAAUAGGUCUGAUAAUUCUAAAUGAUACGAUUGAUGUUUACCUUAACCUUAUCAGUGUUCCUUUUUCUCCAUUGUAUAUAUGUGAAUAAUUCACUGAUAAGCAGUGAAUGUCCUGUAUUAAAGAGCCGUUCAUUGACUCGUGCUACAAGCACCCAUUGAGCACUGGACAUUGGACUCUGUGAAGCAAGUGAUAAACUGUAGACUGCCAUCAGAGAAUUAACCUUGGAGGGGAGGAAGCUGACAUGCAUCACCAGAAUAUCCAAUGACUAGUAAAAAUAAAAUGAUUUGUGAAGACUUUUUAAAAGCAAGCUAAAAUAUCGCGGGUGAGACGCUCAGCUACACUCAGGCUGCCAGUUUCCCUGCAUAUCCAGGCCAGCCCUGAAGAUGCCAAAAGAGAAACAGGAGAUUGAUAGAAGAUACAAAUACAACAGAUGCAGAAUUAAAACAGGGAA
rnacentral:lncRNA from 10 species